rnacentral:rRNA from 1 species
UACGGGGGGGGCAAGCGUUGUUCGGAAUUACUGGGCGUAAAGGGCUCGUAGGCGGCCAACUAAGUCAGACGUGAAAUCCCUCGGCUUAACCGGGGAACUGCGUCUGAUACUGGAUGGCUAGAGGUUGGGAGAGGGAUGCGGAAUUCCAGGUGUAGCGGUGAAAUGCGUAGAUAUCUGGAGGAACACCGGUGGCGAAGGCGGCAUCCUGGACCGAUUCUGACGCUGAGGAGCGAAAGCCAGGGGAGCAAACGGG